rnacentral:rRNA from 1 species
AGCAGCUUGCUGCUUCGCUGACGAGUGGCGGACGGGUGAGUAAUGUCUGGGAAACUGCCUGAUGGAGGGGGAUAACUACUGGAAACGGUAGCUAAUACCGCAUAACGUCGCAAGACCAAAGAGGGGGACCUUCGGGCCUCUUGCCAUCGGAUGUGCCCAGAUGGGAUUAGCUAGUAGGUGGGGUAACGGCUCACCUAGGCGACGAUCCCUAGCUGGUCUGAGAGGAUGACCAGCCACACUGGAACUGAGACACGGUCCAGACUCCUACGGGAGGCAGCAGUGGGGAAUAUUGCACAAUGGGCGCAAGCCUGAUGCAGCCAUGCCGCGUGUAUGAAGAAGGCCUUCGGGUUGUAAAGUACUUUCAGCGGGGAGGAAGGGAGUAAAGUUAAUACCUUUGCUCAUUGACGUUACCCGCAGAAGAAGCACCGGCUAACUCCGUGUCAGCAGCCGCGGUAAUACUGAUGGUGUAAGCGUUAAUUGGAAUUACUGGGCGUAAUACGCACUCAGGCGGUUUGUUAUGUUAGAUGUGAAAUCUCCGGGCUCAACCUGGGAACUGCAUCUGUUAUUGGCAAGUUUGAUUCUUUUAGAGGGGGGUAGAAUU